GCGAGUGUGGCGGAAUUGGCAGACGCGCCAGAUUUAGGAUCUGGUGUCCUUAGGACGUGGGGGUUCAAGUCCCCCCUCUCGCA
rnacentral:tRNA from 1 species